rnacentral:tRNA from 1 species
CUUCAUUUAGUGUAAAUUUAAGCACAUUUUAUUUUCAUUAAAAAAGUUUUUGAAGU